rnacentral:misc_RNA from 1 species
UCUUAUUUUUUUUAAUGAACGUAAAGGGGCUUAGAUUGAAUCAUUAUGAAUUCUCAAUGUCAAUGAGUCGAUUAUGAUCAUCUAAAUGCCAUAAAAUAAAUAAGAACCGAAAAAAGAAAAAUAUUACAAGUUAACAUUGUAAACUUUUCAACAAAAAUUAUACCGAAAGAAAAAGUGUCACCUUCCCCAAUCAAGCAUUUGAUUA